AUUGAACGCUGGCGGCAGGCCUAACACAUGCAAGUCGAGCGCGAAAGGCCUUCGGGUUGAGUAGAGCGGCGGACGGGUGAGUAACGCGUAGGAAUCUACCUGGUAGUGGGGGACAACUCGGGGAAACUCGAGCUAAUACCGCAUACGCCCUACGGGGGAAAGCGGGGGAUCUUCGGACCUCGUGCUAUCGGAUGAGCCUGCGUAGGAUUAGCUAGUUGGUGGGGUAAAGGCCUACCAAGGCGACGAUCCUUAGCUGGUCUGAGAGGAUGAUCAGCCACACCGGGACUGAGACACGGCCCGGACUCCUACGGGAGGCAGCAGUGGGGAAUAUUGCGCAAUGGGCGAAAGCCUGACGCAGCCAUGCCGCGUGUGUGAAGAAGGCCUUCGGGUUGUAAAGCACUUUCACUUGGGAAGAAAGGUUGCGUGUUAAUAGCACGUAGCUGUGACAUUACCUUGAGAAGAAGCACCGGCUAACUCCGUGCCAGCAGCCGCGGUAAUACGGAGGGUGCGAGCGUUAAUCGGAAUUACUGGGCGUAAAGCGCGCGUAGGCGGUUUGUUAAGUUGGAUGUGAAAGCCCCGGGCUCAACCUGGGAAUGGCACCCGAUACUGGCCGACUAGAGUACGAGAGAGGGAGGUAGAAUUCCACGUGUAGCGGUGAAAUGCGUAGAUAUGUGGAGGAAUACCGGUGGCGAAGGCGGCC
rnacentral:rRNA from 1 species